rnacentral:rRNA from 1 species
GCCAUGCCGCGUGAGUGAUGAAGGCCUUCGGGUUGUAAAGCUCUUUUGGCGGGGACGAUGAUGACGGUACCCGCAGAAUAAGCCCCGGCUAACUUCGUGCCAGCAGCCGCGGUAAGACUAAGGGGGCUAGCGUUGUUCGGAAUUACUGGGCGUAAAGCGAGUGUAAGUGGUUAUCCGAGUUGGAUGUGAAAGCCUUGAGCUCAAAUCAUUAAAUGCUUUCCGGACUGGAUGACUAAAGUACCGGAGAGGAUGCUGGAAUUCCCAGUGUAGUGGUGAAAUACGUAUAGAUUGGGAAGAACACCAUUGGCGAAUGCGGCUAUGUGGACGGUUUCUGACACUAAUACUCUGAAGCGUGGGGAGCACACAGGAUUAAAUACCCGGGUAGUCCACGCCAUAAACUAUGGGGGCUAUACGUUGGCUAGCUUGCUCGUCAGUGUCGCAGCUUCUUCGUUAAGCACCCCGCCUGGGGAGUACGGCCGCAAGGUUGAAACUCAAAGGAAUUGACGGGGGCCCGCACAAGCGGUGGAGCAUGUGAUUCACUUCGACGCAGCACGAAGAACCUUACCUCCCCUUGACAUGUGACUCGUCAGCUCCCUAUACGGAGCCUUCGGUUCG